AUUAAGCCAUGCAUGUCUAAGUACAAUCCUCUUGAGGGAGAAACUGCGAAAGGCUCAUUAAAUCACACCUAAUGCACUGGAUAGUGACAGUUACUUGGAUAACUGCGGUAAUUCUGGAGCUAAUACAUGCAUACCAGCCCCGACUCACGGAGGGGUGCUUUUAUUAGACUAAAACCAAACGGUCUCGGCCGUCCAAUUGGUGAAUCUGAAUAACUUUGAGCGGAUCGCAUGGCUUCACGCCGGCGACGUAUCCUUCCAAGGUGUGACCUAUCAACUGUCGACUGUGGCAUAGACGCCCACAGUGGUUUUGACGGGUAACGGGGAAUUAGGGUUCGAUUCCGGAGAGGGAGCCUGAGAAACGGCUACCACUUCUAAGGAAGGCAGCAGGCACGCAAAUUACCCACUGGUCAAAGACCGAGGUAGUGACGAAAAAUAACGAUACCAGACUCAUCCGAGGCCUGGUAAUCGGAAUGAGCACACUUUAAAUCCUUUAACGAGGAACCAUUGGAGGGCAAGUCUGGUGCCAGCAGCCGCGGUAAUUCCAGCUCCAAUAGUUUAUAUUAAAGUUGUUGCGGUUAAAAAGCUCGUAGUUGGAACCUGGCGGGCAGGGGGCGGUCCAUUAUUUGAUGCGACUGCCCCAUUUGCCCGUUUUUCUCGGUGGAAUUCCUAGGGUGCUCUUCACCGAGUGUCCUUGGAGGCCACCAGGUUUACUUUGAAAAAAUUAGAGUGCUCCAAGCAGGCUCGACACGCCUGAAUAUUUGUGCAUGGAAUAAUGGAAUAGGACGUCGUUCCUAUUUUGUUGGUUUUCGGAACCCGAGGUAAUGAUUAAGAGGAACGGACGGGGGCAUUUGUAUUCCGGCGCUAGAGGUGAAAUUCUUGGACCGCCGGAAGACAAACGACUGCGAAAGCAUUUGCCAAGAAUGUUUUCAUUAAUCAAGAACGAAAGUUAGAGGUUCGAAGGCGAUCAGAUACCGCCCUAGUUCUAACCGUAAACGAUGACAACCAGCGAUUAAUCGGCGUUAAUAUAUGACCCGAUUAGCAGCUUCCGGGAAACCAAAGUUUUUCGUUUCCGGGGGAAGUAUGGUUGCAAAGCUGAAACUUAAAGGAAUUGACGGAAGGGCACCACCAGGAGUGGAGCCUGCGGCUUAAUUUGACUCAACACGGGAAAACUCACCCGGCCCGGACACCGUAAGGAUUGACAGACUGAGAGCUCUUUCUUAAUUCGGUGGGUGGUGGUACAUGGCCGUUCUUAGUUGGUGGAGCGAUUUGUCUGGUUAAUUCCGAUAACGAACGAGACUCUGGCCUAUUAAAUAGACGAUAUAUUUACCAGUAUAUCGAACUUCUUAGAGGGACAAGCGGCGUCUAGCCGCAUGAAAUAGAGCAAUAACAGGUCUGUGAUGCCCUUAGAUGUCCGGGGCUGCACGCGCGCUACACUGAAAGAAUCAGUGUGCGUUAUACCUAGUUCGGAAGAACCGGGUAACCCAAGUAAAUUCUUUCGUGCUUGGGAUAGGGAAUUGCAAUUAUUUCCCUUAAACGAGGAAUUCCCAGUAAAUGCGGGUCAUAAGCUCGCGUUGAUUACGUCCCUGCCCUUUGUACACACCGCCCGUCGCUACUACCGAUUGGAUGACUUAGUGAGGUCUUAGGACCGAGGCAAAGGUGCCUGUCAUGGGUGCUUUUGCUUUGGAAAUUUGAUCGAACUACGUUAUCUAGAGGAAGUAAAA
rnacentral:rRNA from 1 species